rnacentral:rRNA from 1 species
CAGUCGAGCGGACAGAUGGGAGCUUGCUCCCUGAUGUUAGCGGCGGACGGGUGAGUAACACGUGGGUAACCUGCCUGUAAGACUGGGAUAACUCCGGGAAACCGGGGCUAAUACCGGAUGGUUGUUUGAACCGCAUGGUUCAGACAUAAAAGGUGGCUUCGGCUACCACUUACAGAUGGACCCGCGGCGCAUUAGCUAGUUGGUGAGGUAACGGCUCACCAAGGCAACGAUGCGUAGCCGACCUGAGAGGGUGAUCGGCCACACUGGGACUGAGACACGGCCCAGACUCCUACGGGAGGCAGCAGUAGGGAAUCUUCCGCAAUGGACGAAAGUCUGACGGAGCAACGCCGCGUGAGUGAUGAAGGUUUUCGGAUCGUAAAGCUCUGUUGUUAGGGAAGAACAAGUGCCGUUCAAAUAGGGCGGCACCUUGACGGUACCUAACCAGAAAGCCACGGCUAACUACGUGCCAGCAGCCGCGGUAAUACGUAGGUGGCAAGCGUUGUCCGGAAUUAUUGGGCGUAAAGGGCUCGCAGGCGGUUUCUUAAGUCUGAUGUGAAAGCCCCCGGCUCAACCGGGGAGGGUCAUUGGAAACUGGGGAACUUGAGUGCAGAAGAGGAGAGUGGAAUUCCACGUGUAGCGGUGAAAUGCGUAGAGAUGUGGAGGAACACCAGUGGCGAAGGCGACUCUCUGGUCUGUAACUGACGCUGAGGAGCGAAAGCGUGGGGAGCGAACAGGAUUAGAUACCCUGGUAGUCCACGCCGUAAACGAUGAGUGCUAAGUGUUAGGGGGUUUCCGCCCCUUAGUGCUGCAGCUAACGCAUUAAGCACUCCGCCUGGGGAGUACGGUCGCAAGACUGAAACUCAAAGGAAUUGACGGGGGGCCCGCACAAGCGGU